rnacentral:misc_RNA from 1 species
CUUACAUCACUAAAACUUUUGCAAGAUGGAGCCUCUUUUGCUUGGUUUUAACAAAUCAGUAGCAGCACGUGUAUAAAAAGUGCCAAAUAAUUUUCAGAAAAUGGAUGACCGAAGUGAGAUACCUCAGGAUGGCCCCGCCGGCAUGGAACCCGAGGGCGUCAUCGAGUCCACCUGGCACGAGGUGUACGACAACUUCGAUGACAUGAACUUGCGCGAGGAGCUGCUGCGCGGCAUCUACGGUUACGGUUUCGAGAAGCCGUCGGCCAUCCAGCAGCGCGCCAUCAUUCCCUGUGUGAAGGGUCGCGAUGUCAUUGCCCAGGCCCAGUCGGGAACUGGCAAGACUGCCACCUUCUCGAUUGCUAUCCUUCAGCAAAUCGACACGUCCAUUCGCGAGUGCCAGGCGCUGAUCCUGGCCCCAACUCGCGAGUUGGCCACGCAGAUCCAGCGCGUGGUGAUGGCGCUCGGCGAGUACAUGAAGGUGCACUCGCACGCCUGCAUUGGCGGCACCAACGUGCGCGAAGAUGCCCGCAUCCUGGAAUCCGGUUGCCAUGUGGUGGUCGGCACUCCUGGUCGCGUCUACGACAUGAUCAACCGCAAGGUGCUGCGCACCCAGUACAUCAAGCUGUUCGUGCUGGAUGAGGCCGACGAAAUGUUGUCCCGCGGUUUCAAGGAUCAGAUCCAGGACGUCUUCAAGAUGCUGCCCCCAGAUGUGCAGGUCAUCCUGCUGUCCGCCACCAUGCCGCCGGAUGUGCUCGAAGUGAGCCGUUGCUUCAUGCGCGAGCCCGUUAGCAUCCUGGUGAAGAAGGAGGAACUGACCCUCGAGGGUAUUAAGCAGUUCUACGUCAACGUGAAGCAGGAGAACUGGAAACUGGGCACCCUUUGCGAUCUGUACGAUACGCUGUCCAUCACCCAAUCGGUUAUCUUCUGCAACACCCGUCGCAAGGUGGACCAGCUGACCCAGGAGAUGUCUAUUCACAACUUCACCGUCUCGGCCAUGCACGGCGACAUGGAGCAGCGUGAUCGCGAGGUCAUCAUGAAACAAUUCCGUUCGGGCUCGUCUCGUGUUCUGAUUACCACUGAUUUACUGGCGCGUGGUAUUGAUGUGCAGCAGGUGUCGUUGGUCAUCAACUAUGAUCUGCCCUCGAACCGCGAGAACUACAUUCAUAGAAUCGGUCGCGGUGGUCGUUUCGGUCGCAAGGGUGUUGCGAUCAACUUCAUUACAGAUGAUGAUCGACGAAUCCUUAAGGAUAUUGAACAGUUCUACCACACAACUAUUGAGGAAAUGCCUGCUAAUAUUGCCGAUUUGAUUUAAAUUUUUUCUGCUGAGCCGCAAAACAACUAAGAAAGAAUUCUAAACAAAAAGCAGCCGACCGACCACCCAAGAAAAAGGACUAAACCAGGACAGAGCAGCAACAUCUUCCGCAGCGGCGCAGCAGCAGCAGCAACAACAUCAGCAGCAGCGGAAGCGGCAGCAACAACACCUAGCUACAGCUUACCAAAUAUCGCCGAUUAGCCGGAACCCUCUGUAUCCAUUUAGUUCUCUGUGUAUCAUCAAUUUUAAAACUGCGUCGUCAACCAGCAACAACAAAUAUAUACAAAUAUAAAAAAAAAAAAAAACAACAAAA